CAAAGAGCGCCCUUCUGGCAGACAAAGCAUCCCGCGGCGUUGUCACCGGCGCUGCCCCCGGGCCCUGGCUUUGCUCCUCGGCCACCGCGUUUCCCCCCCGGGAAGGUGGCGGCGGGGCUCGGACUCCGGCCCCGGCCGUCGCUCGGCCAGGCUUUGGGGGCGUUUGGUCUCGGCAGCCGUCUCCUGCUGGAGGGGGAAACACGAGGGAGCGUGAGCUGGCAGGUGCCUGGGAGGCCGGGGUCUCGUCUCUCCUCCCAAAAAAGAGCGGUCCCCGGCACCGGUCAGCCACCGCUCACAGCUGGAGGACAAAGUACGGCCGGGGCGAUCGGCAGGAGGAAUGAGCGGGGCGAGGGUUUGUCUUGCGUUGGGUUUCGUUGCAACGCCAAGCCGGUGCUUUUUUCCUGCAGGCAAACGGGUUUCUCCUGUACUGCAGCUUCGGAUUCGUAGGCAUCCUUUGCUGAAGGCAGCUAGCAUUCGGUGAGACUCCGCGAGGGACCACAAACACAGGUGGCUCUGGCCGCGUUAAGGAACAAAGCAAAACAUUUCUCACCAGCUCAGCCACUUGUUCAGUUGCAGUGAGGAUGCCUCGAUGCAGAUUAGGAACCAGCAGUCACAUCGGUGAAAUGAGGAAAACUUGUUUCUUUUCAAUGUGUGGCUGCUAAAGGGAACAUGAUGUUUCAUGGACUCAGGACCAAGGCAGGGCAAGAACAAGGAGGAGGUUUUGCAGGAACUGGGAAGAUUUUACUUAUCAACAUUAAAAAAAAAAAAAGGCAAAACUUAUCCAGGCACAAUGUCCAGCGGAAAUCUAGGCGACAAGUUGACAGCACUGUCUGUGAAGAUGGGUAUAAGCAAGAAUGGCAAAAAGAUGGUCUGAAUAAGUGCAUCGCAUUAAUGAUUCUUCGAACACAAAUCUCCUAUACAAAGCUUUAUGGGGGCAACCUUCGGGGUUCCCCUGUAUAGCAAAGGAUCCUGACCUUGAAAAAGGGAGGCAGAUUUUGUAAGGGAUUUGAACAUCAUGCAGUGACUCUGGAUUGCAGAUUUUAAGCAUUACUAAAUUGGGGAAUAAAAUUGUUGCUAUUGCUAUUACAUACCAGGAUAUCUCACUAAUCCACACAAUCCACUAAGUUGCUGUAGUUUUAGUCCGUGUUUAUUUUAGAUGAAAUUAUGGCCUGGACAGUUAAUUUUUCUUAGUUUAUCCAUUUAAAUCAUGUAAUCAAACAGAAAACAAAAUGUGACUUGUGCUUUUUGGUACACUCCCCAUCACGUGAACCUGCCAGUGAUGGAGCCCCACACCCAGUUUGUGAGUUAAACACCGUGGCAACUAAAAACCCCAGGUCUUCUUGAAAAGUAGCUCCAUUGCAUUAAAUUCUCUGAUUUUAAUGCUAUCGGUGGCCUAUUUUGCUUUUAUUUCAGGCUGCCUAGCCAUUAUGGGAUUGCCUCCACUGGUCCUUUCCUUACAUCAAGCUAAUUACAUACUAACUUGAGGCACUUAGCAAGCCUGAAAGGAUGGAGCAGGUCCUUUCCGAACACCAGUUGAGUUUAGAAAUGCCUGUUCCUUUACAGGGGCUGAUUCCUAAAAUGAGGGGCAAACCCAGAGGAACCAAAGUAGUCACGCUGGCUUUUGGAAAAAAUGAAGUGUCUCAAGUUAAUUGACAGUCAGCUACCUGGACAUAAAAAACUCUCAUAUAUCCAAAGGUUUUCACCGGGAUUUUUGAGAGCUCCUGAGCAAUUUCAAGUCCUUGAAAGGAAUGCACUAUAGAAUGAAAAAUAUAGGUAUUAUUAAAGAAUGUCUCCAAACUGAAAGCCAGCCAGUUUCAUAAAAAUGAGCUAAAAACCAAUAACACAUACUCUGUCUCCUGCUGGAUGCUGUAUGAACCGUAUGUUUUGCAUUUUUGAAGUCACUUCUAAAACAAUGUUUUUUUUUUCACUGUUGCUAUUG